rnacentral:rRNA from 1 species
AUACGGAGGGUGCAAGCGUUACUCGGAAUCACUGGGCGUAAAGCGCGCGCAGGCGGAUGAUUAAGUCAGUUGUGAAAGCCCUGGGCUCAACCUAGGAACUGCAUCUGAUACUGGUCGUCUAGAGUUUAAGAGAGGGAAGUGGAAUUCCAGGUGUAGCAGUGAAAUGCGUAGAUAUCUGGAGGAACAUCAGUGGCGAAGGCGACUUCCUGGCUUAAAACUGACGCUGAGGUGCGAAAGCGUGGGUAGCGAACGGGAUUAGAAACCCUAGUAGUCC